AGAUCACACGUUUACCAUGCCACAAAGUUCCUUAGAGCAUUAUCCGGUAUGCAACACUGUCAGUUUUUUUCUACUUGAUCAUGGUGGCCACUGGCCAGUCACUCAUAUAUACAUGCAUUCUAAUUGGCUCUCAGGAACUUCAUGUUGAGAUGAAAUUAUAACUGAACUCAAAAGCCUUAGAAAGAUGACAAUGAGGAAACUUAAGUGUAUUGUACUCAAUCAGUGUAGAAUUGCAUGAAAUAGCUGGGGACGUUUAGAAGUAGGUUGGAAAUAGAUUUCUAACAGGCAUGCAUGUUACAAUAGUUAAGUCUUUGAUAAACUUUUGUAUAAACACUAAGAAGAAAAUAAAGAAAUAAAAUGGAUUAAUUUCUCUAAUAAGAUAAAAAGUUAUACAUAAUAUUGUGUCCAGUCAAGCACAUGUGAUAUGAGAUCAUGAUGGAUGUUGUUCUUGUAGUGCUAAAUCAAGUGGUGUAGUUCUAGCUAAACUUGAAUGCAACAGGGAUGAAGUCGUUGAGUCUUAUAAUAAUUAACUAAGCCAGUUUUUUAGUGAAAUCCAAACAAACUCAAUGAUCUCUCACCAUGUAGUGUGUUAUACCAUGCAUGCAUGCAGGCACAGGAGGUGGUUGACAAGGUUGUGAAAGAGGCAGUAAGCAAGCCAUGGUUACCCUUGCCUUUGGGCCUG
rnacentral:lncRNA from 1 species